rnacentral:rRNA from 1 species
AUUGAACGCUGGCGGCAUGCCUUACACAUGCAAGUCGAACGGUAACAGGUCUUCGGAUGCUGACGAGUGGCGAACGGGUGAGUAAUACAUCGGAACGUGCCUAGUAGUGGGGGAUAACUACUCGAAAGAGUGGCUAAUACCGCAUGAGAUCUACGGAUGAAAGCAGGGGAUCGCAAGACCUUGUGCUACUAGAGCGGCCGAUGGCAGAUUAGGUAGUUGGUGGGAUAAAAGCUUACCAAGCAGACGAUCUGUAGCUGGUCUGAGAGGACGAUCAGCCACACUGGGAAUGAGACACGGCCCAGACUCCUACGGGAGGCAGCAGUGGGGAAGUUUGGACAAUGGGCGAAAGCCUGAUCCAGCAAUGCCGCGUGCAGGAUGAAGGCCUUCGGGUUGUAAACUGCUUUUGUACGGAACGAAAAGCCCCGGGUUAAUACCCUGGGGUCAUGACGGUACCGUAAGAAUAAGCACCGGCUAACUACGUGCCAGCAGCCGCAGUAA